CCCCAUUGUGACACAACAAAAGCAAUCCAAACAUUAAAAGCCCCGAACUGUGAAUACCUGUUGAGAAUUUCAGAUUCCAAAUCCAUGCGACACCUUCUCCAUCUCCUUCUCCACGUAGAAAACCCCUAAUCCCCUCAUGUUUCGCAGACUCUAUUCCUCUCUCUCUUGCUCUAACACCACUCUCUCCUCUCCAAUCUUUCACCACAAAAAAAACUUUCUUUCCAUUCACUCCAAACCUACCUCCCUCUCUCAACUUCAACGUUUCCCUUUAGCCCCACUAAGAUUCUUUGCUUCUUGCUCCAAAAUGAGCGAAACCCAGAAACCUAAACUCACUAUUCCACCUCCCGAUAAAGUCUCAAAGCCUGAAAUGCUACGUGCCCUUGAGUUCUCACUGGGUUCUUCCUUCAGUACUAACCCAAUUUUCCCCCCUCCAAAUCCUUUGAUCAUUGUAAUUAGUGGUCCAAGUGGGGUUGGAAAAGAUGCUAUUAUCAAGAAAUUGAGACAAGUUAGAGAAAGUUUGCAUUUUGUUGUGACUGCCACUAGUAGGCCAAUGAGAGAAGGGGAGGUUGAUGGUAAAGAUUAUUACUUUGUGUCAAAGGAAGAAUUUUUAUCAAUGGUUGAGAGAAAUGAGUUGCUAGAGUAUGCACUUGUGUAUGGUGAUUAUAAAGGUAUACCAAAAAAGCAAAUUAGGGAGUUUAUGGAAAAAGGGCAUGACAUAGUUUUGAGAGUUGAUGUCCAAGGAGCUGAGACUUUGCGGAAGAUUUUGGGGAAUUCUGCUGUCUUUAUAUAUUUAGUGGCAGAGAGUGAGUUGGAACUUGUGAAGAGGUUGAUUGAUAGGAAGACUGAGACUAGUGAGGCUUUGCUUGUGAGAAUUGCGACUGCGAGAGAGGAGGUCAAGCAUGUUAGGGAUUUCGAUUAUGUGGUGGUGAACGGUGAAGGGAAGUUGGAUAGUGCAGUUAAGUUGGUGGAAUCUAUUAUUGAUGCUGAGAAGGCCAAGGUCAGGCAAAGGAGGGUUGUGAUUUAGUCGAGGGCUUAAAGUAUUGUUCUCGAGGUUAUAAUUAUGGAUUUUUAACGCACGGGAAUCUGAUCGUAUGUUGGAAGAUAUAUUCCCCUUGUUGUAUCUGUAACAAAUAUCCUUAGUCUUAUAAUUGAGUAUCCAGGAGGUAUGGGACAUCAGAAGUUAAAAAAUGUUGGUGACUAAGUUACUUUAGAAACUUGGCUCGAGUAAUUUGUAGCCAGGAAAUAUCUUGCACAUGGACAAGUAUUCAGAACGGAAGUUGCAAAAUCUGCCAUUAUGUGCGAAGAGACACUAGUGGGAGUGGGAAUGGAUCUGUGUAAGUUUAAUGGAGCUCAUCUUAGCUUGUGGUUUAGGCUUAGUUGGAUUGUGCAAUAACGGGAGAGGAAAACAUAGGAAUAGGAUAAUUUUAUUUUACCAUUUCAAAGUCUAUGUUAGCACAUGAAGAAGGAACCUCCUUUUGCAGUUCAUCAAUACAACUUGUCAUCCAGUAAUGCUUUCCAUUUUUGUUGAAGAUCACUUGUAGAAGUUGAGUUUUACCGAGCAAUAUCCAAGUGAGAAUAAAGAUUGUUUUAGGUGUCA